AUCCUGGCUCAAAAGCUCCCCUGCUGAGCACCUUGUGACACCCCCACCCACUCCUGCCCGCCAGAGAACAACCCCCUUUGACUGGAUGUGCAUGAAAUUUGGUGCCAUGAUUCAGACCCCACUGGAAAUCGGACUGUUCAACUCACCUGGCAGCCACUCCCAGAGCCCCUGGAACUCUGGCCCAAGGCUCUCUGACUGACUCCUUCCCAGAUCUUCUCGGCUUAGCAGCUGAAGACUGACAUUGCCCGAUCACCUCGGAAGCCUACAGGACCAUCACGGAUGCUGUGAGUAACUCUCACAGUGGACGGUAAGUCCGUCCCCUUCUUAAUCAAUAUGGAGACUACCCACUCCACAUUACCUUCUUUUCAAAGGCCUGUUUCCCUUGCCUCCAUAACUGUUGUAGGUACUGACGGCCAGGCUUCUAAACCUCUUAAAACUCUCCAACUCUGGUGCCAACUUAGGCAAUACUUUUUUAAGCCCUCCUUUUUAGUUAUCCCCACCUGCCCAGUCCCCUUAUUCAGCUGAGACACUUUAACUAAAUUAUCUGCUUCCCUCACUAUUCCUGGACUGCAGCCACAUCUCAUCGCCGCCCUUCUUCCCAAUCCAAAGCCUCCUUUCCAUCCUCCUCUUGUAUCCCCCUACCUUAACCCAGAAGUAUGGAAUACCUCUACUCCCUCCUUGGCGACCAAUCAUGCACCCCUUACCAUCUCAUUAAAACCUAACACCCUUACCCCGCUCAAUGCCAAUAUCCCAUCCUGCAGCACACUUUAAAAAGAUUAAAGCCUGUUAUCACUUGCCUGUUACAGCAUGGCCUUUUAAAGCCUGUAAACUCUCCUUAAAAUUCCCCCAUUUUACCUGUCCAAAAACUGGACAAGUCUCACAGGUUAGUUCAGGAUCUGCGCCUUAUCAACUAAAUUGUUUUGCCUAUCCACUCCAUAGCGCCAAGCCCAUAUACUCUCUUAUCCUCAAUACCUCCCUUUACAAUCCAUUAUUCUGUUCUGGAUCUCAAACAUGCUUUCUUUACUAUUCCUUUGCACCCUUCACCACAGCCUCUCUUCACUUUCACUUGGACUAACCCUGACACCCAUCAGGCUCUGCAAAUUACCUAGGCUGUACUGCCACAAGGCUUCACAGACAGCCCCCAUUACUUCAGUCAAGCCCAUAUUUCAUCCUCAUCUGUUACCUAUCUCAGCAUAAUUCUCAUAAAAACACAGGUGCUCUCCCUGCUGAUCGUGUUAGACUAAUCUCCCAAACCUCAAUCCCUUCUACAAAACAACUCCUUUCCUUCCUAGGCAUGGUUAGUGCAGUCA
rnacentral:lncRNA from 10 species